CGCCAGGGUCUUGAAGCUGGAACAUUGCAAGCGGGAGACGAUAGUAAAGCUGGUGAGCAUCGAGCAACCGGACUCGUUCUGCUACGCGGCCGUGUCGCGCGGCGGCCGCGUGGGCGUCUACUGCGGCGAGUUGAGGCUGUUGCACUCCUACGAGGUCUUCUUCCACCGCACCGGAGUUAAUCGUCGCGUUAAAAAUUCCUGGAUAACUGAUGCCGUUUAUUUAAGCGAUGUGCAGUGUCUCUUGCUGUCGG
rnacentral:misc_RNA from 1 species